rnacentral:pre_miRNA from 1 species
UAUAUACUCCCUCCGUCUGGAAUUACUUGUCCCAUAAAUUGAUAAAAAUGGAUAAUUAAAAUAUAUCUAGAUAUAUCCAUUCCUAUGACAAGUAUUUCCGGACGGUGGGAGUACUAC